rnacentral:tRNA from 1 species
GGAGUUGUGGCUUAGUGGUAGAGCGCUUGCCUAGCAUGCACGAGGCCCUGGGUUCAAUCCCCAGCACCA